rnacentral:rRNA from 1 species
AUGGAAGCAAAUAAGCCUCGGCAGCAGCAGGAGGAGGAGGAGCACAAGGCCAUGAGCAAGGAGCAGACGGCGAUGAAGGCCGUCUCCGAGGAGGCCGGGUCGUCGUCCUCGGACGCCGGCGACGGCGAGGAGGAGGCGGGCGCCGUCCACAACCACCGCGGAUGGAAGGCCAUGCCGUACGUCAUAGGGAACGAGACGUUCGAGAAGCUCGGGACGAUCGGCACGCUGUCGAACAUGCUGGUGUACCUGACGACGGUGUACCACAUGCCGAGCGUCAACGCCGCCACCCUCCUCAACGUAUUCUCCGGCACCAGCAACCUCGCCACCGUCCUGGGCGCCUACGUCAGCGACACCUACCUCGGCCGCUACACCACCAUCGCCGCCGCCACCAUGUCCUCCUUCGUCGGCAUGCUCAUCCUCACGCUCACGGCCGCCAUCCACACCCUCCACCCUCCCGCGUGCAGCGCGUCCAAGGGGCAACAGUGUGAGGGCCCCACUGGGUCCCAGCUCGCCGCCAUCCUGGUGUCCUUCUUCUUCCUGGUCGUCGGUGCGGGAGGCAUCCGGCCAUGCAACCUCGCCUUCGGGGCCGACCAGUUCAACCCGCGCACCGCCGACGGUCGUCGCGGCAUCGCCAGCUUCUUCAACUGGUACUACUUCACCUUCACGGUCGCCAUGAUGCUCUCGGCAACCGUCAUCAUCUACCUCCAGAGCAACGUUAAUUGGGCGCUAGGGCUCGCCGUGCCCGCCGCGCUCAUGGGCCUCUCAUGCGCCGUCUUCUUCAUGGGCACGCGCCUCUACGUCCGUGUACGCCCCGAGGGCAGCCCCUUCACAAGCUUCGCCCAAGUCCUCGUCGCCGCAGCCCGCAAGCGCCACCUCCGUCGGGCUCGCGGCGACGCCGAGCUGUUUGACCCACCGCACCAGAGUAAGCUCGUCUCCAAGCUGGCAUACACCGACCAGUUCGCGUGCCUCGAUAAAGCGGCCGUGCGGACCCCCGACGACGCGUUGUGCGUCGACGGGAAGACGCCGGCAGACCCAUGGCGGUUGUGCACGCUGCAGCAGGUGGAGGAGGUCAAGUGCCUGGCGCGCAUCAUUCCGGUGUGGUCGUCGGGGAUCGUCUACUUCAUCGUGCUCACCCAGCUGGGCACCUACGUCGUGCUCCAGGCCGCGCAGAUGGACCGCCGGAUCAGCAAGUCCAGCAGCUUCCAGAUCCCGCAGGGCUCCUUCGUCGUCUUCCAGAUGCUCGCCCUCACGACGUGGAUCCCUGUCUACGACCGGUUCGUGGUGCCGGCGCUCCGCCGCUUCACGAAGCGCGAGGGCGGCAUCACCCUGCUCCAGCGGAUCGGCGUCGGGUUGGCGUUGUCCGUGGCGACGAUGGUGGUCUCAGCGGCCGUGGAGCAGCGACGACGGAAGGUCGGCUCGUCGAUGUCGUGCUUCUGGCUGGUGCCGCAGCAACUGCUGGCGGGCCUGUCGGAGGCGUUCGGCGCCAUCGGGCAGAUUGAAUUCUACUACCGGCAGUUCCCGGAGAACAUGCGGAGCGUGGCGGGGGCGCUCUACUUCCUGGGGUUCGCCAUGGCGAGCUACGCAAGCGGGCUGAUGGUGAUGGUGGUGCACCGGGCGACGCGCGGGCGGGACGGUCAGCCUGACUGGCUGGCGCAGGACCUGGACGAGGGUAGGGUGGACCUAUUCUACCUGGUCACCGCCGCCAUCGCCGCCGUGAACCUCGUCUACUUUGUGAUCUGUGCACGGUGGUACAGGUUCAAGAAGUCCGACGAUGCCGGCGCCGGAGAUGUGGAGCUCGACGACGACGGCCCGAAGAAGGCUGGCGCUGGUUUAGCUUAG